UUGAAAUCAUGUCAAACUUACAG
rnacentral:miRNA from 1 species